GGAAACCGGAGCUAAUACCGGAUAAUAUAUUGAACCGCAUGGUUCAAUAGUGAAAGACGGUUUUGCUGUCACUUAUAGAUGGAUCCGCGCCGCAUUAGCUAGUUGGUAAGGUAACGGCUUACCAAGGCAACGAUGCGUAGCCGACCUGAGAGGGUGAUCGGCCACACCGGAACUGAGACACGGUCCAG
rnacentral:rRNA from 1 species